rnacentral:lncRNA from 1 species
UCGUUUUGUAUUUUCAUAGCAGGAAUCGUCGAUAAACAUGCAAGAAGCAGAAUGGCUGAAGUACUCAACCUUCUGGCCCGACCCGGACAACCCGGAUCAUCAUCAUCAUCACGGGUAAGAGCAACAGUACUAUGUAAAAGAAGAAGCAUAACUCAUUGAGCAGACAAAAUCAUUGCCUUGAUCAAUUUUAGUUACUCGAAACAUUCCUCAAGUUCUUUUCCAAACAAGAGCAGAUAAAGGGACAAUUCACAUAUAUAUAUAUAUAUAUGUCCCUUUAUCAAUCUUCUUCUCCUCUCAUUCCUACCUGCGUGGCUGAUGGCUCAACUGAACUAUAUGUUCAAUAAAUUCCAUGUUGGUAAAGGGAAAGCAAAGACUAGAAAAGAGAAAAGAAAGAGAAAAGGAAUUAAAGAAACCAAGAAAGGCUGCACAAAUAUUACAAGGAACAAAGGUUUAAAGCAAAUAUUCAUCCUGCAUGAAAAUCAUCACCAUGAUGAUUACUAUAUUAUCUUUAUGCUUGUAAUUCUUAUUAUUAUUUUGUUCUUUUUUCAGUUUAUUUGUAUAAUUUGUUUUUACAAGUUUUUUACAAGAAAAUAUUGGUCAAAUACUGCAAAGAAAAUAUAAAACUUUGUAUAUUAUGAGUAGUGGAAUACUUGCAAGGCGAAAACAGGAUAGUUUCCCCUAUACAAUGUAUAAAUUGUAUGCCUAAUGUUACUGUCACACUUCUUUUGAAAUUUGGAGAAAAUCUUUAAUGGCUUUCAAUAGUAAAGUGACUCUGCUGAUAUUACUCUUGGUUUAAGAAUUAGACCGAAACCACUUUUCUUUUUCGUGAUAAGGACGACUAGAUUAAAAUAUUGCAUUAGAAAACUGUAUUUUUUGUUUGUGAUGCUUCGUGUUUUUGUUCUAGCACUAGAUCAGACCCGCAUCUGUUAAUAUGGUUGGCACUGCCCACGACACUCGUAUAUGAAACGGAGGAACACAAAAUGAUAUGGGAAAUUCGUCGUUAAAAAUGCAACGAAAUUUAAAAGGUUUUGUGAUUAUCAUUUUGUGAAACAAUGUCACCAAAGUCGACUGUUGGAUUUUGACAAAUAAACUCUUUCUACUUUGAUUGAGUCUCUAAAGCAACAGAGGCUUGGUUUAUUGGGACAUGGGAUCAUCCGUAGAGGGAUAGGGCUUGACCAGAGUUGGCUAGCAAGCAUAGACCAAGAACAAUGGAGGGAUAGUUUUAUUAUUAUUAUUAUUAUUGUUAUUUUUAUUUUAUUUUUUAUUUUAUUUUCCUUUUUAUUUUCUUAAUUGCUUAUGAAUUCUAACAACUAACAACAUUAUCUUAACAAGUAAUAACUUCGAGCCUUGAGUAAAUGAAGAUGCAUUGGCUCAUGAUAAUUGUUCCAUUUUAAAAGUUAUUCGUUUAGUUUAUCGGCAAGUUAUCAAAAGAUAGGUCUCUUAAGUCUAUUUGAACAUUAUUUUCUAUUAAUUGAUAAUUGUUGUGUAAACAUAGACAAAUAAAUCGAAAAGAAGAUGCACAAUAAAAUCAACAUAGAAAUUUAAGUUGUUCGAUAAUAUGUCUACUUCCUUGUAUGGUGCAAAUAAUCCACUAAUUUCGAUUAUAAUUGCAAUAUGUUGUUCAUAUAUAAUUGUAAAUUCAAAAUUACCCUUACAAUAUCUUACUAUACUGCAGGGAUUUUGCCCCCACACCCCCAAUCUAUCUACGGCUAACCUAAUGGACGAGUUGAUUUUGCUACAGGUUCUAACUUAUCAGUCCAUCACCUUCCACUCCAUCACCUAGCAUUCAUAUGAAAAAAAUGAGCCAUGCACAUAAUCAAUAAUAUUAUUUGUAUGUAAGCUAUCUUAGUAGAGUAAUGUUUCAU